UUAAAAAUUAAAAGUUAAAACAAAAUCCCUAACUAAGCCCGUGCCCUCCCCUCCCUCAGUCCCUCCUCCCUUUUUUCCCCAAUUCGAAAAUCUUCACCAUCACCUCCGGUCGACCCUCCUCCACCGAUCCACCUCCUGACCUCCGGUCCUCCACAGCUGACGGCUCCACCUAAUUCCAAAAUCAGAGGUAUGUUAACUUUUAUUUUUCUCUUAUUCUCUGCGAAUUUUAAAAGAAAAGAAUUCCUGCUCAACUGCUCUUUUUCAGUGAAGAAGAUAAUGCAGUGCAGUCUUUUUGACUAAUAUUUCUUUUCAAAUUCUCUUCUCUACUUCUUUUUUUCCCUAAUUGAAGAUAAUCUAAUAUUGAUUUGUAAUUGUAUUAUUGUUUUCCAGCCAAGAGAAGGAAGAAUCUCGGGUUUCAGAUUUUAAGGUAUGUUGAAAUUAGAGUUACAUGUUAAAUUUUCUAUUUUCUUAUUAUUAUUUGCUUAGUUUAGUUGAUUACUACGUGAAGGUUUUGUUUGGUUCAACUGUUGAACGUGCUGGAGUGGACAGUAUUUUCAUGUAUAUUUUUUACCUUUAAUUUAGUUUUGUUUGCUUAGUUUAGUUAAGGCUCUUGUGAGUUGUGACUCCAAGAACAAGUAGUUGCAAUAAAGGUGCAGGCAGGCAGGCAACCCCUUCAGUGGUCCUUGCUUGAGCCGCAACCUAUACUGGACUAGUAGUUUUUUUGGGGUAUAUGAUUUUGAGCCAUGGAGAAACCAUUCUAUCUAUGUAGCUAAAUAAAAAAAAGGAUGAUUGCUCUUUGGUAAGUUAUGACUGUGAAUAUAGCAAUGGAAACAACAGUGCCCCAACCAAACUUAUCAACCUCAAUUUCAUCCGAAUGACGAAUCACAACCUUCAUUUAACAGAAAACUCACUAAAUAUAUGAUAGGAACUUGAGCUGGUAAAAUAACUCAAAGAAGCACAAUUUGGCAAAAUAAAAACAUUUGUGCAGGAUGCGUUAUAAACAAGCUGACAAAGCAAAAAUCAAAUCUUUCAGAAAUUAUAUUUUAUAGUAAUUAGUAAUAGACAGUGGAGAAAAUGAAAUGGAGAGAUUGGAUGGUAAGUGGUAACUAUUCUUUGUGCUACAAAACAGAAAAGUAAAAAAAGGAUGAUUUUGCAUACAGCUUUUGCUUCUCAUUUAUAUGUAGUCAUAUGCACUAAUUAUCUGUGUCUCAAUCACCAUAGAUGGUCCACUUAUAGGUUUCAUGUCCUCUGCUUCAAGUUGUCACUCAGGUUUAAUCCCAACAAAGGAACAACUUGUGCCAGUGGAUUCAACCUAUGCAUUCCCUUCAGAACAUUACAAUAUUUGUAAUGUAACUUUCUUGAAUUAAAGCAUGUAAUGGGACACUGUUCUUCCUCAGCAGUCAUUAAAAAAACUGUGGGGUUCUCUUAUGUCUCUAUCAGCAUUAGUUAAAACCCAUUUUUCUGCCUUGGAAAAAUGAUCAAAAAGCAAGAAUCAAGCUGGAAUAUUUUAUGUUUAUCUCCCCUGGUUGAGAUGGAAAGGGUGGUGUUGAUCUCCCCUGGUCAAAUGCCACAUUGUAAAGGUUUUGCUUUAUAUUUUAUGUUUAACUGUUGAAACUAGAAACAAGCUGGAAUAUUUUAUGUUUAUGUAUUUUUUUUUAGGGAAUAGAUCUUUACAAUUUUAUUUAGGGAUUUGGUAUGAUGCAACUUCAAACAAUGGAAGAUGGUAAUAUAUAAAUUUUAAUUUAUAAAAUAAGCUUUUGUAUUCUUUAUAUUAGUAAUAGUAAGCAUUCCCAUAAUUUAACUAACACUUUUGUUUUUAAAUUUGCUAGACUUAUAAUACCCGAAGAUCAAGAAGGUAACAUACAUACUUAGCGUUAGUUUAUAAAGUUAAAUGUUUAUUUAAUUUAUUUUUGCAAAAAAAAAUUAUUAUUUAACUAACUCAUUCAAUACUUUUACUAGAUGUUUCAAGAUUAUCAACGGUGUUCGAAGCACAAGAAAAAACUUAAACGUUUCUAUAAUGGUUUUUGAACUGAUGUGUUAUUGUUAUUAGUUUGGUUUGGUUUGUUAUUGUUGUUGGUUAAUUGGACUUUUGUUAUGUUAUUUUGGUGUAGGUUUCUAUUGUAUUUUGGACUUUUGUUGCUUAUGUUUUAUUUUUUUAUUAUAAUGUUGUUUAUUUCGACUCAUGCUAUUUACUUGGACUUUUACUUAUGUUUUUUAUUAUAAUCUUUUUGUAUUAAUUUUGUUGUUUAUUUGGAAUCAUGUUGUUUAUUUGGGU
rnacentral:lncRNA from 1 species